rnacentral:tRNA from 1 species
GUGGGUAUAGCUCAGUAGUAGAGUGAGUGCUUAGCAUGCACGAGUCCAGGGUUCAAUCCUCCGUACUUCCA